rnacentral:lncRNA from 1 species
CUUGGUUACUGUUUGAUUGUUCUGGCCACCUAUACAAGAUAAUAAAAAUGACUGUAAUUUCUUGACCACCUUUUGUGUUUCAACAUCCACACUGCCUUAAUCCCCAUGAUCAUCCUAUAAAGUAAGUGGACUUUCUUCAUUUUACAGAGGAAGAAGUCGAAUAUCAGAAAGUCGCAGGACUUGCACAAGGUCUCCCUGGAGAGAACAGAGGGCUUGGGAACUGGACCAAGGUUAGUCUUACAUCAAACCCCUACCGUCUUCACCAGUGCGUUACAGAGUUGGAUGGUGCCGAUAGCAUAGUGUCUGCAGGCACACAACAUCCCAAUCUAGUGUGUGACAUCUCCAGCCUGUGUUCCCGAGUGUGACCUCGUGCCCAUUGCUGGCCUCAGAAUCUCCAGCUGGCAUUCUGCAUCGCCAGUUACCUGGGCAGCCUAUGCUGGAAGCAAUGCUUGCUCAUUGUUCUGUAGGGUUGGAGGUUCCUCUGGACAUUUCCCCGGGCAGAGGGCAGGUGGGGCCAGGGUAAGGAUAUAGCGGGUGACAGCUGGCGUAGUAGCUUGAUAGCAGGGACUUGGGCUGACUUGCUUAGUGAGAUGUGUUUAAAUCUGUCCCUGACCUUUUCCCAGGCAUUCUGUCUCCAUCUUGUCUCUGCUUCUGGUGUGAAGGUUCUGGACAAAUUUAAUGAUGAAUAAUGACGAAAACUCAAGAAAUGUCCCCAUGAGAUGUGUGUGUGGUUUUCCCAGUGUGGUGCAUCAGCUUGGACAGGAUACUCUCGGAGGUUCUGAUGGCUACCCAGGACGUCGGGGCCAUUGGCCUCAGACUCGGAAACAGCCCGGUCCUCUGCCUGCCGAGGACCCAUUGCUUGACCUUGGACAAGUCGCUUUCCCUGUCCGGGCAUCACGUCCCUCCUCCCUGAGGUGAGGGAAUCUAUCGCACCACCUCUGAGAUAUCUCCCAAUUUGGAUAAUUGUGUGAUUUUGCUAAGAACACUGGAUCUGAACAGGACAUCUGUGCUUAGCAUGCAACAGAGACCCGAGGAGGAUUUGGCAAGCAGGAUUCAGCCCCAGGGAUGGCCACCGACGGUUUCUAUCGGCACUGACUGAGCCUUUCAGCCGAAGCCCUCCGUCCCUCCCAGGAGCCAUCUGUCUCUUGUAGGCCCCGGCACCAGUGGUGAAGCACCUUUCUUCACUAAGUGCAGCAGGUGUCUUGGAGCACUCGGGACCUGUUUCUAUUCCCUUCUUUGCUGUCAAAGCCAAUCUGUGAAAAUGCCUCUGUGAUUCCAGAAGGAAAACAAGUGCCCAUGAGGAAGAGGUUAUAAAUACAUCCAAUUAUAAAUAUAUCCCAUUAAAAAUAGAUAUUGACGAGCAGCUCCAGACAGAGUUGCGCUUGGCAGGCUCGGCCGAGGAGAAAAAAGUAGCCUAGUGUCCAGAAAGUCAUACAGCUGACUGUUGAACAACAUGGGUUUGAACUGUGUACAUCCACUAAAUAUGUGGAUUUGUUUUGGGAAAUAUAGCCCAGUACUGUAUUUUCCCUUAGGGUUUUCUUAAUUAUAUUUUCUCUUUUCUGGCUUUAUUGUCAGAAUAUGGUGUUGAAUACAUGUAACAUCCAAAAUAUGUAUUAAUUGACUGUUGAUGUGAUUGGUAAGGCUUCCAGUCAAUAGUGGGCUCUUAGUGGUUAUGUUUCUGGGGAAUCAGAACUUAUAUGUAGAUUUUCAACUGUGUGGGCAGAUCGGGGGUGGGGAGUCAGCUCCCCUAACCCCUAUACUGCAUAAGGGUCAGCUGGAAUAUUUUCUUGAACUGUUCCUUAGUAAUAUCUUUGGGGUUGUAGCUGGCUCUUAAUUAGCUACUAAGUCGGGCAGGGUGGUCAGAGAAGGGUUUGGCUUAGAAAGUCCAGUAUAAAUAGAAUUUAUAGGACUCAAUAAAUACUUCCCUUCCCUAUGUCA